CCAGAUGAUGGGGUGAUGUAAUUAUUCCAAAUAUAAAACAGCUUUACAAGGAUGCUUUACUUUCACGUUAAGUGUUAAUCAAGUAUAUCAUGUACUUGGCCUGAAGGAAGUUAUAGAUUAAAUUCUGUUUGUUCCUUUUUUUUUUUUUUUUUGCUUUUAAUACAAGGUGGUCUGAGGUUACAGAUUUUGUCCAAGUCCAAGCUUCACAUGGACCG
rnacentral:lncRNA from 1 species